rnacentral:rRNA from 1 species
CCUACGGGUGGCAGCAGUGAGGAAUAUUGGUCAAUGGCCGGGAGGCUGAACCAGCCAAGUCGCGUGAGGGAAGACGGCCCUACGGGUUGUAAACCUCUUUUGUCAGGGAGUAAGGUGCUGGUCGGGAGGGGCUGUGAGAGUACCUGAAGAAAAAGCAUCGGCUAACUCCGUGCCAGCAGCCGCGGUAAUACGGAGGAUGCGAGCGUUAUCCGGAUUUAUUGGGUUUAAAGGGUGCGCAGGCGGAGGCACAAGUCAGCGGUAAAAUCGCGGGGCUCAACCCCGCUGCGCCGUUGAAACUGUGUGCCUUGAGUGCGCGAAGGGUAGGCGGAAUGCGUGGUGUAGCGGUGAAAUGCUUAGAUAUCACGCAGAACUCCGAUCGCGAAGGCAGCCCACCGGCGCGCAACUGACGCUCAUGCACGAAAGCGUGGGUAUCGAACAGGAUUAGAUACCCGUGUAGUC